rnacentral:rRNA from 1 species
AACACAUGCAAGUCGAACGGAAAGGCCCUGCUUGCAGGGUACUCGAGUGGCGAACGGGUGAGUAACACGUGGGUGAUCUGCCCUGCACUUCGGGAUAAGCCUGGGAAACUGGGUCUAAUACCGGAUAGGACCAUCGUUUAGUGUCGGUGGUGGAAAGUUUUUCGGUGCAGGAUGAGCUCGCGGCCUAUCAGCUUGUUGGUGGGGUAAUGGCCUACCAAGGCGUCGACGGGUAGCCGGCCUGAGAGGGUG